rnacentral:tRNA from 1 species
AGAAUAUAGUAUAAUAAAAUAUGAUUUGUUUACACCAAAUUGAUGCUGUCUAUAGCUGUUCUAU